rnacentral:rRNA from 1 species
AACGGCCGCGGUAUCCUAACCGUGCAAAGGUAGCAUAAUCACUUGCCUAUUAAUUGUAGGCUAGAAUGAAUGGGUUAACGAAAUAAAGACUGUCUCAAUUAAUCACCUAAAAAUUACUAUCUAUCUGAAGAAGAGUAGAUAAUCUCGAAGGACAAGAAGACCCUAUAGAGCUUAAUUUUAAUUAUAGAGCUACACUAUAAAAAUAUUCGGUUGGGGCGACCCAGGGCUAAUCAAUCACCCACUACAUAAAAGAUAAAUUAAUCGAGUAAUUGACCCCUAAAAGAUCAUAAGAACAAGCUACCUUAGGGAUAACAGGCUAAUCCCACUCAAGAGUCCUUAUCAACAGUGGGGUUUGGCACCUCGAUGUUGGCUUAGG